rnacentral:rRNA from 1 species
GACGAACGCUGGCGGCGUGCCUAACACAUGCAAGUCGAGCGAUGAAGCCCUUCGGGGUGGAUUAGCGGCGGACGGGUGAGUAACACGUGGGUAACCUGCCUCAAAGAGGGGGAUAGCCUCCCGAAAGGGAGAUUAAUACCGCAUAACAUUAGUUUUUCGCAUGAAGAACUAAUUAAAGGAGCAAUCCGCUUUGAGAUGGACCCGCGGCGCAUUAGCUAGUUGGCGAGGUAAAGGCUCACCAAGGCGACGAUGCGUAGCCGACCUGAGAGGGUGAUCGGCCACAUUGGAACUGAGACACGGUCCAGACUCCUACGGGAGGCAGCAGUGGGGAAUAUUGCACAAUGGGCGAAAGCCUGAUGCAGCAACGCCGCGUGAGUGAUGAAGGCCUUCGGGUUGUAAAGCUCUGUCUUUUGGGACGAUAAUGACGGUACCAAAGGAGGAAGCCACGGCUAACUACGUGCCAGCCGCCGCCGUAACAC